rnacentral:lncRNA from 1 species
UUCCAGAAUCACAGCGGCCGGCGAGCAAACGGCGUAAACGCAAAGGCAGCGCGGGCGCGAACGCCGCGCCGCCCGCGCCUGCCAAGAAACGCUCCCCCGGACCCAACUUCAGCCUCGCCUCACAGGACGUAAUGGUAGUGGGCGAACCGUCCCUAAUGGGGGGCGAGUUCGGUGAUGAGGACGAAAGACUAAUCACCCGGCUGGAGAACACCCAGUACGAGGGCGACGGCGUCGAGUGGCCGGCGCCGCCGCCCGCCUCGCCCGCCAAGACGCCGCCGGGCCCGCACUGACGCCGCUCGCCGCCCGGCCGACGACCGCCUCACCUCGCUGCGGCCCUGGUACAAUUUGUCGACUCGCAACGCGAGCACAUGGAUAUGUCAAAUAUAAAUAAAUAAAUAUAGGCCUUUACGGAUAAAUUA